AGCGACUCUCUGUCGUGAUACGGACGGUGAGGUGCGAUAGCGUAGGUAGCGAACGGGAUUAGAUAUCCCGGUAGUCUACGCUGUAAAUGAUGAACACUGCAUGGUGGAGGCGUUGAUAGCUUUCUCUGUCGAAGCAACUGCGUUACGCGCCCAACUUCGCGAGUAUGGUCGCUAGACUAGCACUCAAAGGAAUUGACAGAGGUCCACACUAGCGCUGGAGGAUGCGGCUUAAUUUGAGGACACGCGUUAAACCUUACCGAGGUUCGACAAGUAGGGAUUAAUCCGGUGAAAGCCGGAGGAUUGCCGUACGGUGUAACUUACACAGGUGGAGCAUGGCUGUGGACAGUUCGUGUCGUGAGAUGUUAGGUUAAGUCCUGAAACGAGCGAAACCCUUGUUCUUAAUUGCCAGCGCGUUAUGGCGGGGACUUUUGGCAGACUCCCUCGGCUAACGGGGAGGAAGGUGGGGGAGUCGUCAAGUCAGCAUGGCCCCUAUACGUCGGGCUGCACGCGUCCUACAAUGGGCAGUACAAACAGGACCGAUCCCGCGAGGGGGAGGAAAUCUGUAAAGCUGCUGUCAUUUCGGAUAGCAGGGUGAAACCCGCCUGCAAGAAGGAUGAAUCGCUAGUAAUGGCCGGUCAGCUAUACGGCGGUGAAUCUGUCCCUGGUCCUGGUACACACCGCCCGUCAAACCACCCGAGUUGGGCGCACUGGAAGUCCGAGAGUCAACCGUUUAUGGAGAGAUCGGCCGAAGCUGAUCCUGAUGAGGUCGUCUAAGUCCUAACAA
rnacentral:rRNA from 1 species